UUUUGUACAAUGGGCGCAAGCCUGAACCAGCCAUGCCGCGUGAGUGAAGAAUGCAAACGAGAUACAAAACUCAUUCGGACGAAAAGAAAUCGCGCAGGCUAAUCCCCUGCGCGAUUGACGGUACCGUCAUAAGAAGCACCGGCUAACUACGUACCAGCAGCCGCGGUAAUACGUAGGGUGCGAGCGUUAUUCGGAAUUACUGGGCGUAAAGCGUGCGCAGGCGGUUGAUUAAGACAGGCGUGAAAUCCCCGGGCUUAACCUGGGAACUGCGCUUGUGACUGGUCAGCUAGAGUACGGCAGAGGGGGGUGGAAUUCCACGUGUAGCAGUGAAAUGCGUAGAGAUGUGGAGGAACACCGAUGGCGAAGGCAGCCCCCUGGGCCGAUACUGACGCUCAUGCACGAAAGCGUGGGUAGCAAACAGG
rnacentral:rRNA from 1 species